AGAGUUUGAUCCUGGCUCAGGACGAACGCUGGCGGCGUGCCUAAUGCAUGCAAGUCGCACGGGUCUCCUUCGGGUGACCAGUGGCGAACGGCUGAGGAACACGUACGAAUCUACUCCGGUGUGGGGGACAACCCGGCGAAAGCCGUGCUAAUCCCGCAUACGCUCCGAGGAGGAAAGCGUGCUUAACACACGCGCACCGGAAUGAGCGUGCGGCCCAUCAGGUAGUUGGUGUGGUAAUGGCGCACCAAGCCCGUGACGGGUAGCUGGUCUGAGAGGACGAUCAGCCAGACUGGGACUGUGACACGGCCCAGACUCCUACGGGAGGCAGCAGCAAGGAAUUUUUGGCAAUGGGCGAAAGCCUGACCCAGCAACACCGUGUGGGCGAUGAAGGCCUUCGGGUCGUAAAGCCCUGUUGAUAGGGACGAAGGGCGAAGGGUUAAUAGCCCCUAGCCUGACGGUACCUUUCGAGGAAGCCCCGGCUAACUACGUGCCAGCGGCCGCGGUAAUACGUAGGGGGCGAGCGUUGUCCGGAAUUAUUGGGCGUAAAGAGCGUGUAGGCGGUUCGGUAAGUCUGUCGUGAAAUCCUGGGGCUCAACCCUGGGCGUGCGAUGGAUACUGCCGGGCUAGAGGGUGGUAGAGGCGAGUGGAAUUCCCGGUGUAGCGGUGAAAUGCGCAGAUAUCGGGAGGAACACCAGUAGCGAAGGCGGCUCGCUGGGCCACACCUGACGCUGAGACGCGAAAGCUAGGGGAGCGAACAGGAUUAGAUACCCCAGUAGUCC
rnacentral:rRNA from 1 species